rnacentral:tRNA from 1 species
GCCACCGUAGCUCAGUCGGUAGAGCAGCUGAUUUGUAAUCAGCUGGUCGGGGGUUCGAGUCCCUUCGGUGGCU